rnacentral:rRNA from 1 species
AUUGAACGCUGGCGGCAUGCCUUACACAUGCAAGUCGAACGGCAGCAUGGGUGCUUGCACCUGAUGGCGAGUGGCGAACGGGUGAGUAAUGCAUCGGAACGUACCCGGAAGUGGGGGAUAACGUAGCGAAAGUUACGCUAAUACCGCAUAUUCUGUGAGUAGGAAAGUGGGGGAUCGCAAGACCUCGCGCUUCCGGAGCGGCCGAUGUCGGAUUAGCUAGUUGGCGGGGUAAAGGCCCACCAAGGCAACGAUCCGUAGCGGGUCUGAGCGGAUGUACCGCCACGCUGGGACUGAGACACGGCCCGGACUCCUACGGGAGGCAGCAGUGGGGAAUUUUGGACACGGGGGGCAACCCUGAUCCAGCCAUGACGGGUGAGUGAAGAAGGGCUUCGGGUUGUAAAGCUCUUUCGGCCGGGAAGAAAACGCACAGGCUAAUACCUUGUGUGGAUGACGGUACCGGAAUAAGAAGCGCCGGCUAACUACGUGCCAGCCGCCGCUGUAAAAC